rnacentral:lncRNA from 1 species
AGGGCCAAAAAAAAAAAAAAAAAACGAUUUACAUAAUUGAUAUGUGUAAACAUAACAUAUUUAACUUUAAACGUAUGUUCAUCUCGAUAGAACACCUUUUUAUUAGUUCAUUUUAUAUUUUUUUUUUUUUUUUUUCGCAGGUUUAAUAUCAAACAUAAUUUUUUUACAAAAAAACACAAAAGAGGAGUUGGUGCAAAUCCUAAAUGAAAAAAAUAAAAACGUAAAUAAAUAUUUUGAUAUAUAUAAACACGGAAUUAUAAAAAUUUUUAAUUUUGACUUUUCAAACAUUGACACAGGUGAAACAGAUAAAGACUAUGAGUUUGAUUUUCUUUGUGUGGCUGUUUUGAUCUACGAAAUGUGCACCAAAUAUAACACUUACUACUCCAAUGAAUUUAAACAAAUUUCGGAUACCAUUAAUAAGACCAAUUUAUAUUUCCCUCAUUUUGUAUCAUUUGAAUUAAAAAAUUUUUGCUAUGAGGUAAUACCUAGAUAAAUAAAUAAAUAACUAUAAAUAGAUAAAUAAAUAAAUAGAUAAAUAGAUAGAUAGAUAGAUA